UACGUAGGGUGCGAGCGUUAAUCGGAAUUACUGGGCGUAAAGCGUGCGCAGGCGGUUCGUUGUGUCGGCGGUGAAAGCCCCGGGCUCAACCUGGGAAUGGCCGUUGAAACUGGCGAACUGGAGUGUGGCAGAGGGGGGUGGAAUUUCGCGUGUAGCAGUGAAAUGCGUAGAGAUGCGGAGGAACACCGAUGGCGAAGGCAGCCCCCUGGGCUAACACUGACGCUCAGGCACGAAAGCGUGGGGAGCAAACAGG
rnacentral:rRNA from 1 species